AGUAUCAUGGGAUGAAACCUUGAAACAAUGUGAGGAUUACACCUUUUCACAGACUGAUUGUUUUCAUAUGAAUGAGAAGGCAUUUAUAUUCUGAUGCU